rnacentral:lncRNA from 1 species
ACUGUAGUUUUGACUAUGCUCAACAAGUAUUGAACCCUUACUAUGCUCAGCAAGUAGGGCCCUUGUAUUUUAAGCCAACACAUAAAAGCAGAUUCUUUGGAGUUGCUGUGAUUCCUCAUGCAGAUUCUUUGGAGCUGCUGUGAAUCCUCAUGCAGUACAGUACUGCUGUUGGAAGAGGAGCAAACAGUGUGGUAUCUAUGGUCCACCAUCACUUCAAGCAUCAUGGCUAUGGAGAAAAGAAUGUUACAUACAAUUAUAGUGGAUGAAAUAAGAAAAGUUGUAAUAAGCUAUGGAAUGUGGCUUGUUAUGAUGGGUCUACAUGAUGAAUUGGAGUAAAACCUGAUGCAGGCAGGGCAUACAGAAUUCAGUCCUGAACAUGAUUAG